rnacentral:rRNA from 1 species
UGGGGAAUAUUGCGCAAUGGGGGGAACCCUGACGCAGCCAUGCCGCGUGAAUGAAGAAGGCCUUAGGGUUGUAAAGUUCUUUCGGUAUUGAGGAAGGUUGAUGUGUUAAUAGCACAUCAAAUUGACGUUAAAUACAGAAGAAGCACCGGCUAACUCCGUGCCAGCAGUCGCGGUAGUACGGAGGGUGCGAGCGUUAAUCGGAAUAACUGGGCGUAAAGGGCACGCAGGCGGUUAUUUAAGUGAGGUGUGAAAGCCCCGGGCUUAACCUGGGAAUUGCAUUUCAGACUGGGUAACUAGAGUACUUUAGGGAGGGGUAGAAUUCCACGUGUAGCGGUGAAAUGCGUAGAGAUGUGGAGGAAUACCGAAGGCGAAGGCAGCCCCUUGGGAAUGUACUGACGCUCAUGUGCGAAAGCGUGGGGAGCAAACAGGAUUAGAUACCCUGGUAGUCCACGCUGUAAACGCUGUCGAUUUGGGGGUUGGGGUUUAACUCUGGCGCCCGUAGCUAACGUGAUAAAUCGACCGCCUGGGGAGUACGGCCGCAAGGUUA